UGACUGACUCUGUUAAUGAGGGGACCUGGAAAUGGGUGGACGGCACCCCACUGACCACAGGGUGAGAGAUGAUAACUAAUCUGUCAAUAAGGCUCCUUUCAACCUUUUUCUAUGCAGGUUACUGAUAUUGAUGAUAGCAGUCAACACAGUUAACUAUCAGAUGACAAAUGUCUACAUAUUAUUUAGUAUUAUGAUGUUAUAACUGUGAUGUCUUAUUGUUGUUAAUCCUGUAGGUACUUGUAUUAACAAGGUAGGUACUGGUAUUAACCAUGAUAUCUGACUGUUGUUAACCCUGUAGGUACUGGUAUUAACCAUGAUAUCUGACUGUUGUUAACCCUGUAGGUACUGGUAUUAACCAUGAUAUCUGACUGUUUUUAACCCUGUAGGUACUGGUAUUAACCGUGAUAUCUGACUGUUUUUAACCCUGUAGGUACUGGUAUUAACCGUGAUAUCUGACUGUUUUUAACCCUGUAGGUACUGGUAUUAACCAUGAUAUCUGACUUUUUUUAACCCUGUAGGUACUGGUAUGCCAAACAGCCUGAUAAUGCAGGUCCUAAUGGGGACGAGGACUGUGCUGAGAUACACAAAAAUCAGAGUCCUCUAAAGGCAUGGAAUGACAUGUCAUGUGGCAGCAAACUCAACUGGGUUUGUGAGAAAGUGUUUUAAAAUCACCAUGGCAACAUGCUGUAACACAUACAGUAGACUACAGUGCACAGAACUUCCUCCUCUGUCUCUGUCUCUCUCUCUCUUUGUCUCAAACUCAUGCACACAAAUGUUGUAUUUGUUUGUAUUAAUAUAUUAAUAAAAGUCCUACUUGUUUCCUGAUAUUGUAGCUUCCUGUUUACCAGAGACAACAUGAAGAUAGUACAUCAGACUCUGCUAUAUGGGUCUCAAAAGAGGGAAGUGAAGUUGUUAUUUUCAGUUGUUCAACCAGCUGUCACUCAAAACCUCCUCCACUAAUCAGGUUCAUUAAGAGAGAACAGAGCUGCGUCCGUUUCUGUCG
rnacentral:lncRNA from 1 species